UUGCGGGUGCGACCCGGUAACAAUAAUAAUUCGUUGGAUUUAAAUUAUUGGCCCAAAAUACUUAGGGUGCGUUUGGUUCGAGUUAUCCUGGCAGGAUUACAGGCAAUCCUGCCAGGAUAACUGUGUUUGGUUAUCCGCUAUGUAAUUUAGUCGUUAAUAUAGUAUUACAAAUCGAGUAGGAUUAUAUCAAAAAUAUUAACGGGAAGGGGGUCGUGUAUCUUGCAUCACUGAAACCCGUUAAUACUACAUAUUAUGUAAAAUGACAAUUUUACCCUACAUCAACCCCAAAUCUAAUUAACAGUAUUAUUUUCAUCUCUCUCUCGCCUUCCCCCGACCCUCUCUCUCGCACGCCGCUUUCUCUCGCUCUCUCUCUCUAAACGUCUCUCUCUCUCUCUCGCGCGCGCACGAACACCUAUCAUCUUCUAUUGCAUCGUCCUCCCAAGUAAUCAUCACGAUCUCCUUCCCUCCAUUCGUCAUUUUCGUAAAAAAUAAUAUUCAAAUGACAACAAUAAGGGCAAUUUUAGAAAAAACUAUACUUUUAUGUCAGGAUUACUAAAUUUUAUAAACUGAACCAAACAUAUUAAUGCUAUAAACACUGUAAUCUAGUAUUACAUUACUAUAUUAAACCAAACGCUCUAAUGCAGCAUCAGUAGUAAUCUCACGCCGAAAUCCAAGAUACCUGGAUAUGUCGAGAUACUUUGUAAUAUUACAUAACUCGAACCAAACGGGCCCUUAAGAGAUUCUUGGGGCGUUAUAAACUCGUCGUGGGACGUUACAAACUCUUCCUGUUUAGACUCGGUCCUACGGGUUGAAGAGGUGUGGCUUCUACCAAAUUUAUUGAUAUAACACUUGCAGCUGGUAUUCGGCUCUGAUACCAAUUGUAACGACUUGACGCGCUAGCAACAAUAACUCGUUGGGCCCAAAUCACUGGUUCAAAAUACUUAAAUCUAAUUAUUAUUAUUAACAUAUAGGUCUUAUAUAUUCUAAUCAAAAUUAUUUUUCAUCUGACGUGGAACAACUAGCAUGUUACAGAUAAUUUCUCCGGUCUCAGAUCAGACAGAUCUAGACAACAAACAGACCUUUAAUCGCGAGCCAGUUGUAAUUUCUAGAUUUGAAUCACGCACCCACCGAGUUACACGUGUUUGGCGUAGCUACGAACUUCAAAACAGAGAACGAAAACUUAGGCUUAGUUUGGUAUUGAGAUCUAUCUAAUGCUAUUAGAUAAAAUGGAGUUGAGGAAAAAAUAUAUAGGAUAUACUUCUGCGUUCUCUAGUGGAACCGCAAAAAAUAUAUCAUAACCGACUCAUCGCGAUAUGCGGAACGUUCAUAAUAUUACGUACGAAAACAAAUAGGGUAUUUUUCCAAUAUACUUUUUCAACGUACGUAACGCAAUCUUCCUGCACGCAACGCAAUCUCUCUGCAAUCUCAAACGAAGCCUUAAACGACACUCUGAUAUCUCUCUGUCCCUCAAAAAAAAAAAAAAAAAAAAAAAAAAAA
rnacentral:lncRNA from 1 species